rnacentral:rRNA from 1 species
GUGACGCAGCUAACGCAUUAAGUUCCCCGCCUGGGGAGUACGGCCGCAAGGCUAAAACUCAAAGGAAUUGACGGGGACCCGCACAAGCGGCGGAGCAUGCGGAUUAAUUCGAUGCAACGCGAAGAACCUUACCAAGGCUUGACAUACACCAGAACACCGUAGAAAUACGGGACUCUUUGGACACUGGUGAACAGGUGGUGCAUGGUUGUCGUCAGCUCGUGUCGUGAGAUGUUGGGUUAAGUCCCGCAACGAGCGCAACCCUCGUUCUAUGUUGCCAGCACGUAAUGGUGGGAACUCAUGGGAUACUGCCGGGGUCAACUCGGAGGAAGGUGGGGAUGACGUCAAAUCAUCAUGCCCCUUAUGUCUUGGGCUUCACGCAUGCUACAAUGGCCGGUACAAAGGGCUGCAAUACCGUGAGGUGGAGCGAAUCCCAAAAAGCCGGUCCCAGUUCGGAUUGUAGUCUGCAACUCGACUACAUGAAGUCGGAGUCGCUAGUAAUCGCAGAUCAGCAACGCUGCGGUGAAUACGUUCCCGGGUCUUGUACACACCGCCCGUCAAGUCAUGAAAGUCGGUAACACCUGAAGCC